UUUUCAAAUAAAAGUUCAGAGAAAAAUGGAAAAUAAGACAUAGUAUUAGACAGGCAACAUAUGUUGUCUGUUUGGGAUCUGAGGUAGGCCUUGUUGUUAUAUCUGUCUCUGUGUAAAUGUGUGUGCGUCCAUACGCNNNNNNNNNNAAAUAAGAACUAAACAAUCGAGCAAUGCAACCAACACGAGUGCUGUAUUAUAGCAGUCUGAAUUCAGAAUACAUGUGUAUAAAUAUAGAAGUAUAGAAUGCUCAAAUUUAGAACUUUAGAAUCUUUGGCAAACAUAAGACAUUGUGAUGUCACAACUAAAUGGUUCAAGUGAGCAAAAUGUAAUGUUGUAUUACUCCAUUGUUUACAAACAAAUCAUUUACAAUGUAAGUACAGUACUGAGACCCCAUGUAAUUAAAAUAUUUACACAAUCAUUUAUUUUCAAUAAAUUGUUUUCUUUCACAAAAUAACACUCCCGUGCAAAUGAAUGGCAGGUCAAUAGUUUUAUUCUGAUCAUACAAAAUGAUUUCCAACAACCACAGAAUACAGUAACACACGCUCAAUAAAACCUUGAAUAUGAAUAGACAACAUUAGAUACAGUUCAAAUCUGUCACUAGCUGGUAGGGAACUGGUAAUAAAACCCGCUGUCUUUAUAAAUUAUAUAUUAGUUUUUACACAAUAUGUAAGGAACUAUAAGGAAAAUAUUUGUCAUGGAUGACUGUCUAGUAGGAACCAGAGCUUUGUCAGUGUCCAGUCCUUAUGUCAGUCCUAUGUCAGUGUCCAGUCCUUAUGUCAGUCCUAUGUCAAUGUCCAGUCCUUAUGUCAGUCCUAUGUCAAUGUUCAGUCCUUAAAGUCCUNNNNNNNNNNUAUUUUCUUAACAUACCCACUGUUUACAUAGACAGCCCAAUUUGCCUGAAUCAUGGUUUCCACCCUGCAUUGGAUGAUGUGGUGUUUUCACAGUGGAGGGAGAAGGGGCUCACAACAAUUGGUAAUCUAAUCAUAGAUGGUCAGUUAGCUUCAGUUCAACAAUUACAGGGAAAGUUCAACAUGCCAACAACACAUUUUUUCAGAUACCUCCAAAUAUGGAAUUUCGUAAGGACAUAUAUCCCACAGUAUGGCAUGAAGCCAAAUAGUCCUACAUUAGAUAGCUUGAUCCUUGUCAAACCCCAUUCAAAUGGGUCGGUCUCUAGACUGUAUGAUGUGCUACAGGCCCACAUAGAGAUAUCCACAGACACCAUUAAAAGGGCUUGGGAACAAGAACUUGGUUCAGAAAUCUCAGAUGAGGACUGGGUAGAAGCUUUCAGGAAUAUAAACCACAGUUCAGUGAAUGCCAGACACAACCUUGUACAGUUUAAGGUGAUACACAGGUUACAUUACUCAAAAGUAAAACUGCAUAAAAUAUUCCCGUACACCUCACCACUGUGUGAGAGGUGUACCUACCUUCCAAACAUAUGGAAAAGAUUUGAUACAAUACCUCCAAUAGAAGUCCAAUGUUUUACAAAAUAUGGCAGCCGAUACUGGAUAAAUGGUCUAGUCCCGCUUCAUAACUGGGUUGACGAUCUGCUGCUACUCUGUGCUGUACUGAACUCAAUAUUUAUUUUUGGCUUAUCUUCACUGCUUGUAAUGACUAUAUGCUGUCUUCUUAUACAUGUACCACCUAAUAGGAUUUUGUUUUGUUUUGUGUAUGUGUGAGUUAAGUUUUGUUUUGUCCUCUAAAUUGGCCAUCCCAUUCAACAGUACAAUGAAUGUCAUUGUUUUUAUUGCUGUCGUUUUUAUUUUAUUUUUUAUUGGAAAAUAAUAAACAGAUUUUUUUUUUUAAAGAGAGAGAAAAUAAAAAAAGAAAGGACUCUAUAUACCAAGCUCUUUAGAAUAAGGAUUCUCCGCCUCUAACCCUAUUACAGGGGCUGAGUCACUCGCUUACUGGUGAAGUUAAAUAUUCUCUCUCUAAUUCUCUCUUUCUUUCUCGGAGGACCUAAGCCCUAGGACCAUGCCUCACGACUACCAGGCAUAGACAAUGACUAACACCUGCCUCUGAUUGAGAACCAUAUCAGGCCAAACAUAGAAAUGGGACAACUAGACACACAACAUAGAAUGCCCACUCAGCUCACGUCCUGACCAACACUAAAACAAAGAAAACACAAAAGAACUAUGGUCAGAAUGUGACAAUGUCAUUGUUUGUAUUGCUGUCUUUUUUUUAUUUUUUUUUAUUGGAAAAUAAUAAACAUUUUAUUUAAAAAGAAAAUAAAAAAUGAAAGGACUCCAUAUACCAAGCUCUUUAGAAUACGGAUUCUCUGCCUCUAACCCUAUUACACGGGCUUAGUCACUCGCUUACUGGUGAAGUUAAAUAUGCUCUCUCUAAUUCUCUCUUUCUUUCUCUCUCUCUCGGAGGACCUGAGCCCUAGGACCAUGCCUCAGGACUACCUGACAUGAUGACUCCUUGCUGUCCCCAGUCCACCUGGCCGUGCUGCUGCUCCAGUUUCAACUGUUCUGCCUGCGAUUAUUAUUAUUUGACCAUGCUGGUCAUUUAUGAACAUUUGAACAUCUUGGACAUGUUCUGUUAUAAUCUCCACCAGGCACAGCCAGAAGAGGACUGGCCACCCCUCAUAGCCUGGUUCCUCUCUAGGUUUCUUUCGAGGUUCUGGCCUUUCUAGGGAGUUUUUCCUAUCCACCGUGCUUCUACACCUGCAUUGCUUGCUGUUUGGGGUUUUAGGCUGGGUUUCUGUACAGCACUUUGAGAUAUCAGCUGAUGGACGAAGGGCUAUAUAAAUAAAUUUGAUUUGAUUUGAAUUCAAUGGACUAUUUAAAAACAUCAGACCUGAGUUAGUCUUUUGUGGGUACCAGCUUUCUACACAGAGGAAUGUGCAGUUGCAUGAAAGCUGGAAAUUGCAUUGACUGGCUGUCCAGGAUACAGUACAUCUAGAUUCUCUAGAGAGGACAGACGCUGACUAUGUACAAACCGUAGGUCACAGUAGGCAAAUAAAUCUCCUUCAAUGAUACAAAAAAUAAUAUACAAUUCAUUUGCGUUGUUUUUAUCUCCUAAAUAAAAUACGUGAUCCCCCAUUUUUUCUUCCACACAUUGUAUGAGCCAUACCAUGCUUUCAACCCUCCUGUACCUGUGUUGAUUUACAGUUUGUUCCCUAUUUGGACACUUAAGAAUGUUAAUGUGCAAAGUGCAAGAAUGUUACAGAAGUCUUGUAUAUAAUACUGUAUGUUAUUUGAAUUGUAUUUAUAUGUAAGAAGGUACAAAGACCUAACCUGGGCACCAUGUGUUUGACAGAAGGGACAAGGAGCGGAAUGUUAGUUAGACGGGUACCCAGACUUACAAAGACCUAGUCCAGGUUAAUAAUUCCCUUCAUUCCUUGGCAUCACAUCAUGAAUGUACUCCUAAAAACCUCAGACCUGAUACGUUUUAUAGACUACAUAACCUAUAUUCAUUCUAAUUUAAAGUAAUAUGUUUGUACAAAGUGUUAUAUUGUUUUUAAAUAAAGAAUAAGAAAAAUAUCUUAGCAUGUUAUGAUUGAGAGACUUCCGUCAUGAUCACUGAUGCACCGAGGUUGCAAAGUUUUAAUCCCAUGUUGCCCCACUGUGAUACAUCUUGGUCAUAUCAUGUAGACUACUGAAUGUAGAGGUGAGCUCUCCUUUCCAAACACCUGCCUUACAUGACAGCUAUGGUCUUGCUGCGUUUCUGAGCAAGAUUGUCAAGAAGUGUUAGAAAUGUCCAGGGGUCCAACUAGCUUUAUUUUUCUUACGGCCAAACAAUCUUCAGAAGCAGCUACAGCAUUUCAUAUUCUACUCUUUGUACCAUUUAUUCUUGUAAAUGAUCCGUUUCAGAUAGACUAUUGAUGGAAGCAUUUUUAUUUCAAGUAUAUUUAUUCACCAAAUGUUCACUGUUGUUAAUUAACCGAUUCAUUUGAAUCGUCUACUGUAUAAAUUAUUCCAAAAGCCCAAAAUUCAAAACAUACUGUAUUUUCAGCAAAGUAAAUGUGUUUAUCUAAUCAAAAACAACAACUGAAAACACAGAUUAUCAGGCUACACCAUAAAACAAUACAAUGGAUGGUUAUUGGUUACAUUGAGCAUCAGGCUCCUCUAUAUGGAAUGUAAAAUAUAUAUAUCAGAAAUAAAGUCAUAAAAGACACGUCUUUAGAAAACAAAGUCACACAAAAUACUUAAAAUAAAGUGUUUAUUUUUCAAAUAAAAGUUCAGAGAAAAAUGGAAAAUAAGACAUAGUAUUAGACAGGCAACAUAUGUUGUCUGUUUGGGAUCUGAGGUAGGCCUUGUUGUUAUAUCUGUCUCUGUGUAAAUGUGUGUGCGUCCAUACGCUUGGUUUGUGUGGAUGUGAUUUCUAGUAUCCGCGCCUGCGACAAUCCUCCAUCCACAC
rnacentral:lncRNA from 13 species